CAGCAGCCGCGGGAAUACAAAGGUCCCGAGCGUUGUUCGGAAUCACUGGGCGUAAAGGGAGCGUAGGCGGCGUGGUAAGUCAGAUGUGAAAUCCCGGGGCUCAACCCCGGAACUGCAUCCGAUACUGCCUUGCUAGAGGAUUGGAGAGGUAGCUGGAAUUCUUGGUGUAGCAGUGGAAUGCGUGGAGAUCAAGAGGAACACUCGUGGCGAAAGCGAGCUACUGGACAAUAACUGACGCUGAGGCUCGAAGGCCAGGGUAGCGAAAGGGAUUAGAUACCCCGGUAGUCCCUGUCUCUUAUAC
rnacentral:rRNA from 1 species